rnacentral:siRNA from 1 species
UGUUCUGGGCCGCACGCGCGC